CUAAAUGCAUUCCUUCUCCUUUAAGAGCCACAGACUGAGAGCCAUAAAAAGCGGUGGCUGAAAACAUUCACAACCAGCGAAGCAGUCGACCAACAGAUUUACUUUCUUGUUCCAGAGGCAAGCCCCGUUCUUCAGUGAUCUGCCAACCGCUUCUAACCAAGUAACUCCGGCAAAAAGCGGGGAAAAGUCCACGGGGAGCGCAGCACAAAUAUCCACGAACCAGCCGCAGGUAAAAGGGAGGGGUGGGGGGCAAAUAAAUCAGGGACAAAUCCACAAGGUCUCCGACAGCACAGCGAUUCUUUUUCUUAACAAGAAAGAAAUAGCUUGUCACUCUGUGCUCCUCCACUACAAAGGGGAAGGCUUUACAUGUGAUCUUUCUGCAAGAGAGCCUCUGGUUUGCAGCAGGCUGGAAAACGUGAAGUGGACUCAUGUUGGGUGCAGGGCUCAUUUCAGCUGUUUCUGCCCCAUCUAAAUAAACGGGAAACUACAGUGCUCCUUUAAAUGCAUUCACAGCUUAGGGUGAGUAUUCAGAGGUAAAACUAGCUGGGAGCCUGACAGGGGAGGAAAGCAGGCAGGCUGACACAAUUUGUGAGGAAAACGCUUCUGGACAUGAUGGAAGGAAGACCAGUGGGAAGGAAAAGCAGACAUGGAGCCUCUAAUGAAGUUCAGUUUCCAGCACACCCGGUGCAGUAAUCCAUCAGCUACGGACACAGCCGGAGAUAAACCAUGGCACAGUGCAGCUGGCUGAGAAAUAGACCUCCCGUCCUGCAGCAGUCAUAGAUCAGCCUGUGUCUGACGUGGCGGCACACAGCGAGACUGCGGCUGCUGCUUCUGGUUGUUUAUAUGGCACCUCCUGUUGGCCGAUGUAAUGUUAGCACCACUUAGUAACAAGUGCAAAAGACAGCUGCCG